rnacentral:lncRNA from 1 species
AACUAAUGAUCUAGUUAAAGUCCCUUGUGCACCAUAAUAAAUAUGGACUAAAUUUGUCAUUAUAGCUUUAGACAGAGGUUUCAGGCAACAGAUUUAAUUAAAUCCUUUUUUAAUAUUCAUACUUCUGAACUGCAUAAUUCUGUUCUACUGUAAAACUGCAUGCUAUAUUAAAACAAACAAAAACGGCAGAUUACUAAAUGGAUAUUAAUAUGGAGUCAAUAAGCAUUUAAUUCAGGAGAGAAUAUUGUGAUGAGAGUGUUUGCUCCAUCUAGUUCAGGAGAUCUUAUCUGAGAUGUAGACUCCUCGUGCACACAGCCUGCCUCCUCUUUUGAUACUGACUUUUGUCAUAGAGGUUAAUUAGUUAUUUAUGGAACUCAUAAAGGACACAGGAGGAAAACAGGAAUACUUUUUGUUAGCCAUUAAGAAGCAGUGAUUAUUGAAAGUCUAAUUUAGACAGCGUAUGAUGAACCAAGUGUUAGCCAGGACUGUCUAUUUUAAUUUUCAAUCAGUAGUGUUAAUAGCGUCCAGAUACCAGUGGAUAAUAAGAAUGACUUGGUAACGCACUGUGUUGUCUUAUUGUAAUUAUACCUACCUUGCCACUGAAAACAAGAGACAUUUUACAAUGAAUUAUUCAAGGUGUCCUUUUUAUGACUCAUCUUGCCUAAACUCGCAUUAAGCUAAGAUGGGUGUAUAGGAUUGAGCAGAUGGACUUGUCAACAUAAAUGGCUAAAAGCUAAGAGGGUAGUUUUGUGUGUCUCUAAACUUUAGAUCCACUCCUUAGCCUUUUCAGUAUGAAGAACACAGGCUGGAAGUAUAUUUCACACAAAAACCCAAUAGCUUCCUUCUUUUCGGACAAGGAUGGGUCCUCCAGCUGUUGCAUUGGAGUUCCCAUUAUCCCUGGCCAUUGGCAAUGCUGGUUGGGUCUGAUGGGUGAUGGAGUCCCAACAAGGUGGCAGGUCAGAGGUUCCCCAACUGUGUUGUAACUUAAGCAGUCUUGAGCUAGGGAGCACAACUCUUUCCUGUGGCUCGCUCGCUCUCUCUCUCUCUCUCUCUCUCUCCCUCCCAUCUCUCAAACAACUGGCUUCCUUAGCUGCUUUUAUUUUUAUAUUACUGCCUUUUUUCUUCUGCUGGGAAUAAAGACAACCUGUAAAUAGAUUUCUGCUCAGCUCACAGAUGCCCAGCCCCCUAAUGCCCCCUGGUAACAACAGUUGUGGCAUAUCUUGAUGAAAUUUCAAACACGACCACACUUAUUCACAAAGAAAGUCCAUAAAGACGACUUCUCUCUUGAAUAUUCCGUGUUCUCACUUGUGAUCAGCAUGAAGACAACUGUAGUUAUAGGGCUGUUGUGCAGUCGCCAGUGAUGACCCUUUAUUUAACCCUGCUUGACAAAGUUCAAUUCUGUUACUUUGGAUCCAUGACACAAGCACUAUGUUCUCAAGCCAGCAUGAGCAUCAUGGUUUAUGAUCCUGGUUUGCUCACUAACCAUAGUUUACUGACCAGAGCUCCUCAAGUAGCAGGGAGCUCUGGUUUAAAAGUGGAAGCAAGUGCUUCCCCUCUUCUCUCUAUAGCCACGUUGAGUAGGAGGAAAAUGAGGUGUGAAAGCCAAAGGCUCGUGCACAUAAUUUUAAAACAUUGUUUAGUGUUACAUCUGAACUGGGUUGCAGGGAUAGAUAGCCUAUAAUAUUUCUCACAUGUUGACCAGAUGGUGAGGAAAUGCUCGCUCUUUCUUUCUUUCUUUCUCUCUCUCUCUCUCUUUCUUUCUCUCAUAAGUGAGGUAGGAAGAUACUUUUUCUUUUCCUUUUUGGGGGAAAUGCCACUCUGUAUGUCAAACGUUAGCAUGCUACAUGCAGUAUUGAAGUUGUCAGAUAUGUGUGAACCAUUUCCAGGGAUCAAAAACACAGUUCUAUCCCGUUAAGAACUCUGAUCUCGUGUGUCAAAAAGGUGUUUAUGAUUUUUUUAAAUCAAAAAGUGAUGGGCUGUGAUUUCUCAUUACCAGGUCAAAUGCUCACUUCACUGAACACACUUCAGGUUUUUUUGUUUUGUUUUACUUGCUUCAUCUACAGCAGUAGUUUAGGAGCAAGGAAAAAAAGAUUAAGAAAAUAACGGUAGAAGAAAUAGUUUCAGAGGACGAUUUUUUGACCUUAUCUGUUGCAGAUAUUGAUGUGCUUUUAUUAUUGUUGCUAAAAGGCAGUCUGGGCUUUUACUGUGGUUUUGUUGUUGUUGUCAGAGAAGGUAUGUUAUUUUCAGCUACUUAUUUUUGUAAUUAGAAUAUCUUGUCUUCCUCACCCAUCUUAAAAAGUGUUUGUGUUAUUGAAGGGCAUAUUAUAAAUAUUUUACAUAUUUAUAUAUUUUUCUAUUAUGUAAAUUGACAGAAGCUAUCGCAGAGGUGAAGGAGACUUAAGAAUAAAGUUGUGAAAGAUUUUGCUUUGUGUACCAAACAUUCAGCGAGCUAAUCCUAGAAAGGGCAUAUUUCUUUAAAGUUCUGAGAGUCAACAAGAAGUACAAACCACCAGGAAGUCCUGCUUGGAUGGCCCGCAUUCAUUUCAACGGUGUUCACAUAAGAAAAGAUUCUGAAGACACAGAGAACAUGGAGACUACUCAAUAUGCUUCUUUUUUAUCAGAUUUCUUGCCUGUCCUGCACCAUAAGGUUCCACAGUAGGUUACAGCAAUAUAGGUACACAAUUUAAAAUCUGACAGAAGAGAUUAAUUAAGAUUUUUUUAAAAAAAUCAACACAGUUUAAAUCAGAAAAUAGAGGUAGGUAUUAAACUAUAUCUUCAGCUGUCAAAGGCCAAGUAAAGAGGUGUCUCUGCAACAUCCAAAGGAAGAUGUACAAUGAAGAUAUUAAACACACCUCUCUGGGGAAAUAAUUUAGGAGCAUCUACAGAAAACCCAUGCAGUCCAAUAUCCUGUUCUCACAAUGGCCAACCAGAUGCCUAAGGAAAGCCUGCAAGCAGGGCAUGAACUGAUAUUCAGAAACAUACCACCUACAAUACUGUAUGCAGUACACAGCCGUCAUGGCAAAUAGCCACUGAUAGCCUAAACUUCCUUGAAUUUCCCUGAAUGUCUUUUAAAACUAUCCAAGGGGUGGUCAGUUCUGCAUCUUGUGGAAACAAAUUCCAUGGUGAAACUCCAUGCUGUGUGAAGAAGUCCACAUUCAGCAUCACCAGAAGACCCCAAGUUUAAUAUUAUGAGAGAAACUUCCCACUGUACAUUUUCUUCACGCGAUAUAGUUAUAUGCACCUGUAUCAUGUACCUUCCAUUACUUGCUCCUCUUCUAAACUAAAAAGCCCCAAAUGUUGUUAUAUUUUGUCAUCAGAGAGGUAUGCUAACACCUAGCAAAGCUGCCCUAAGAGUGCUCAUUUGCAUUUAUAAUGUGGCUGUGUGUAGCUGAAUAUCCUAAUAGUGAGCUUGAUUUUGAAAUAGCAUGUUCCUUCCUAUCUUUUUCUGCUGCCAUUUGCACUGGAAUGUUAUCGAUGUUUAUAGUGGUGAUGAUGGUGAACUCUACUGGGUGUCUGCACUGCUGUCUGUUGGCAGGAGGAAAUUGGCUUCUGGUGCUCCCAUCUUUUAGGUGACAUUGAUAAGGCCAAGGCCGGCUGCUGCUAUCUGUGCCGGGAAUGCUAAGCAAGAAGUCACUCACCGACCUUGUUCUAUUUCCCCCUGCUCUGAUGGAAGCCAAAGGUGUCACCUUUGUGGGCAGCAUAGAACAGCGCCCACUUCUCAUUUGCACAUCACUCAGACUCCAUUUCGUCUUAGCCAGAAAAGCCACUACCGAGACCUGUAACAGCAUUUGCAGUUCCGUCCAAGUACAGAUCUUGUGAAAUUGUCACCUGACAAGUGGCAUUUCAUCUCUUGGGCAGGUUUCUUAGUCUAACGAGAAAUGUGGUGCCACUACAUGGGGGGGGAAAUGGCAGUUCCGUGUCAAAUAAGUAGCAAGGUACCAAUUCAGAUGGUGGCUUUUUCAAGAACGCAGGAAAGGAUGCGAAAGAGUGGGGAAUGGUUUUCUCAUUCUGUCCCUCUCCCUCUCUUCCUCCAGAAGUCUGUCAGCUGUAGCAACUAUGUUAUUUUCAAUUAGACUUAAACCAUGCCUGUGUAUACAAAAGACAGGUGUCACUGCAUGAGUUGCUGUGAACUGCUUUUUCUUAAGCUAGCGAAGCUCUAAUGUUUCCUCGUGGGCCCAUAUUCCUGCUCUGCUCCACCUUCCACUGUAAAACAAGAAUGCUUGAAUUGUUCAUAGGAAAUGC